GGGUAGAGUGCAACUUGAAGCACAAGUAAAAGCAAAUAAAAAAAGGGGAUCCAAAAACUAAAAAGAGGCAAGGCAGGGAAAAUAAACAAAAGAUCAGUGGAUAGAAAAGUGCAAACCGAACCAGACAAAGGGUGUCGCAGAACUCACCUAUAAACACUCGACCGAGGAGAUAGAGAAGAACCAAUGCCAAUACUCCCUUUAAAAGUAUCUAGAGUGGAGAUGAAGCAAGAAUUCAGUAAGAUCUGGGAAGAGGUAGGGGAGAGGGAGAAGCAGUAAAGAGAAGAGGGGAAGAGAGAAGAGAAGAUUCGGUAACCCAAAGAAGAGGGAAGAGAAAGGGG
rnacentral:lncRNA from 1 species